UACGAAGGGAACUAGCGUUGUUCGGAAUCACUGGGCGUAAAGCGGGCGCAGGCGGACUAUCCAGUCAGGGGUGAAAGCCCAAGGCUUAACCUUGGAAUUGCCUUUGAAACUGAUAGUCUGGAGUGUGUGAGGGGGUAGCGGAAUUCCGAAUGUAGAGGUGAAAUUCGUAGAUAUUCGGAGGAACACCGGUGGCGAAGGCGGCUACCUGGCACACAACUGACGCUGAGGCCCGAAAGCGUGGGGAUCAAACAGG
rnacentral:rRNA from 1 species